AUGUUGUUCCAGUUUCCAGGUGCCAGAUGUGACAUCCAGAUGACUCAGUCCCCAUCCUCCAUGUCUGCAUCUCUGGAAGACAGAAUGACUAUGAGUUGCUGGGCAAGUCAUAGCACUAGUAGUAAUUUAAUAUUCUUCCAGCAGAAAUCAGGGAAAUCUAAGCACCUGAUCUAUCUUGCAACCAGUUUGGCAGAUGGUGUCCAAUCAAGGUUCAGUGGCACUGUACGAGGGUCAGAUAAUUCUGUCACCUACAGCAGCAUGGAGUCUGAAGAUAUAGAAAUCUAUUAUUGUCUAUAG